AGAAGUUUAAAGAAUUUCAAAUGAACACUUUCCUCUUACACUAGUAGUUACACUAGUGUCACUCAUAGUGAUAUCCACAAUUAUUAACUUACAUUGAUAAUAUCGAGUGACAGGUAUGACAGUUAGGUAUUUAAUUUGGGGUAACCUUAUUUCGGGACUAAUUAUUUGUUUUAUUAGAAAAUCGUUAAUGUACCUAUAUACUAUUUGGCAUUAACUGAUUCACAAUCAAAUGUUUUGUAUUACCAAUUUGAAGUCAUCCUGUACGUAUACAUUAUAAGAAUAUUUCCUUGUGAACCGACCUCAAAAUAUUAGCAAUUGUUCUUGUUUUUAACCGGCAUCAAAAAAAAGGAGGUAUGAAUGUAUAGUUGGUCAAGCAAAUCUUGUCAGUAGAAAAACGCGGCAAAUUUGAAAAAUCGCGGGCUAGCAACACUGUGUUCGAAUAAUUCCAAAAUCGCGUGUAAUCUGUGUUUUAUCUGUAGAAUGUGGAUCGUCCAUCUUGUUUGUUUACAUUCCGAAUCGGUGCUAAUUCAAGAGAAAUUUCUGCUCCCAGCAUUAAAAUAAAUAUCAAUAUAUUAAAUAAUAUUGUGCAUGACCAUAAGCAAAGUCAAGAUGCCUACAAUGGUUAAAAGGCUUAAAUAAAGAUAAAACGUAUGCUUAAAUAUAUCCAAUAAGACCGCGAAUUGUGCCCUCGAAACCGCAACUGAUUCGAUUGUUCCCAAUAUCAACAGACGAAGUCCUCAAAUAUUUUCAAAGGUAACUUUUUUAAACAAUCUUAAGACGUUUAAGAACCUUGAUUAUACCUACUUUCUUUCGCAACAUCUACCUAAUACUUCCAUAUGUUUGUUGCAGGAUUAAAACUCGCCCAAUAUAAGGCGUUCGUAAAAGUUUCUCUUCAUACAAAACUUACCUACGGCGGUUUACGUACAUACGUGUACAACGCAAACAAGACGAAAAAUAAACUUGUUAAU